AUCUGAGCUGAAGUCUGAUGCUUAACCGACCGAGCCACCCAGGCGCCUCCGGCAAGUGUUUCUCAAAAAGGAACAUCUCACAUAUAAAUCCAAAUGUAUGGAUUUUCUUGAAAAAUCUGAAGAUCUGACACCGUGAGGCCACGUUGGCCCACGGACACAGCCCACUAGAGUGGGGGGUGUCUGCCCACUUCAGGGGGAGCAUGAUGUCCUAGGUCGCCAGGGUCUCUGCCACACCCUUAUUCAUUCAUGCACACUUCCCGUGAGGCCCAAUAGGUAGCUGUAGCCCUUGGCUUAAUGUAUUGAUUCGAGCUCUGCUAAGGUAUUGCUGAGAACACUGAGAAGCAGGUGUAGUUUCUUUCGGAGGCAAAAGUGUUCGAGCAACAAUGUAGAACCAGGUGAGCCAAUGGUGAGCACAGACCAUCACAAGCCACACACCCGGGGACUCGACUGGUCACAUCAAGCCCAAGAGAGCCAAUCUGGAUUUUAUUUGUCACUCUGUUUUGACAGCAUCAUGGCAACGCUUUCGUCCGGCUGAAGUCCUUUCCCUUGACACCUUUCAUUCACAUACAAGUCUAUUUACUGAGUUGGGGGUGUGCAUUAGUUUCUCUUGCUUGCACUUUUGUUUUAAUUCCCUAUUAGUUGUCAGUUUGUCCGGUGAGAAGAAGUUCCAGAAGACAAGGAGGACGAGGGAAAGAUUGACUGGCUGGCCAGAAAUACCAGGCGCCUAACGGUAACAAAAAUUUGCAUUGCCUUCCAGCAUGUGUACCUUUUCUAACAUCUCACUAGAAUAUUUCCAGUGAGUCCAGUGGGAUAGGAAUAUAUUAUUCCCAUCUUCCACGAUGAACAAACAGAGGCUCAGAGUUCAAAUCACUUGUGCAACCAGGAAGGCUUAGGGCUAAAAAUGGCACACAGAGAUCAUAGUUCCUGAUUCUUCAUUUUUUUUCUAGUUAACCGUGAAGAGAAGCAAGACCAUAACACGGGUCAAAAUAGCCCUUGCGACAACUUACUCCAAGAAUGUGGCCUGGUCCUUUGUGUGUCCUUGUUUCAAGAUUGUGCAGAGCAGGAGGCGGAAAUUUCUUGACAACGAUGCCUGCUCCUUUAUUUUCUGAAAGUCCAAAUCCAAGAGAAUAUGCUGGGAGAGCGGGAGUUGGGGCACCUUUGAGACGGGAUCCUCACCCUGACCUGGAGACUGGGAGCCCGGGGAUGGGUACAUCUGUGAGAAGCAGAAACGCUCGCUCUGGGUGGCCCAGGAUUGCUCAGAAUCCAGGUCCCUGGACUGGAUGGUGAUCCCCAGUUGGAAAGCAGAAUCCACAGACAUCUAAGAGACAGGCAGUUUAUAAGAGUGGGCAUGACUGCUGUGAAGGAAGCCCACCCUGGUAUUGGAGGUUGUGGGGACAGGAGCCAGAUAACUUCAGAAACUGAAGUUCCUGCUGGCAUGGACUCGGGAUCAGGUUCAAGUUGAAAAUAAGAAAACAAGUUGAAAAUAAGUUGAAAUAAUAAGUUGAAAUAAUAAGUUGAAAAUAAGAAAAUAAGAAAAUAAGGAAAUGUGACACUUGGAGACAUGCAUUUGUAAACUGAGUCAGACCUGCCAUGGCUGUAAGGCAACAGAUAGUCAAAGAUGAAUUAAUUCCUAUUGUCUGGAAGCUGACCACCUCUUUGGGAGCUGGAGGAGGUCACACGACACCUAUAGGAGUAACUACCAUUUGGAGCCCCGCAGGGUCCUGACGUCGUAUGAAAUGCAGGACUCUGCGGUCACCGGAGGUAGGCAGCUGAAUGUUGCAGAAGGCACACGGCCAGGAUGAUGGAUAAAUGUUUCUCCCAAAGGGAUACGUUGAAAUACACCCUCCCCCAAUCACUGCGUGCCAACACCACUACUCUGUAAUUGCCACGGCUGUGAACUCACCAAACUUUUGCACACCCUCAAGUUCUCUUGGAAAUGUGCCUGCUUGAUAUGAAAGAGCAGUCCGGAAAGGUGAUUGAAUAGGGAACUAUACAGUUAGUGGUUUUCAUAAAAGUGCUUGGCAGGCUACCUCCAUCGAGUUUGAGGUAUCAGAAAGCCCUCGGAGGUCAAUCAGCUCCUCCUGUCCCUUCCAUCCUCCGCUCCCUCACAUUUUACAAGCUCGAAUCUGGGUUUAAGAAGUCCUUGAGGCUGCUAUUCAGAAAGUCCACUAGGAUGGUCAAGGCCGUGGUGUAAACAGUUUAAGGGGACUGGGCCCAAGGAGCAUCUCCACCCUUCAACUGCCGUGUGACCCCCCUGCUGCUCUUAUCUCUUGUCUGGACAAAUAUCCGCUUCCUAACUGGAGAUUUAGUCUCUGCCCCUUCUGGACCCUGAUUAAUCGUCUUAAAUCAUGAUCCGAAUGAACUGCCAGGGAGUUACUUUCUUGUUUACAAACUUCUAAUGAUUAUUCCAUUAAAAAAAUCUAAACUUUG